GAUGAACGCUAGCUACAGGCUUAACACAUGCAAGUCGAGGGGAAACGGCAUUUAGUGCUUGCACCGAAUGGACGUCGACCGGCGCACGGGUGAGUAACGCGUAUCCAACCUACCCAUUACUGUGGGAUAACCUGCCGAAAGGCAGACUAAUACCGCAUAGUCUUCGAUGACGGCAUCAGAUUUGAAGUAAAGAUUUAUCGGUAAUGGAUGGGGAUGCGUCUGAUUAGCUUGUUGGCGGGGUAACGGCCCACCAAGGCGACGAUCAGUAGGGGUUCUGAGAGGAAGGUCCCCCACAUUGGAACUGAGACACGGUCCAAACUCCUACGGGAGGCAGCAGUGAGGAAUAUUGGUCAAUGGACGAGAGUCUGAACCAGCCAAGUAGCGUGCAGGAUGACGGCCCUAUGGGUUGUAAACUGCUUUUGUAUGGGGAUAAAGUCAAUCACGUGUGAUUGUUUGCAGGUACCAUACGAAUAAGGACCGGCUAAUUCCGUGCCAGCAGCCGCGGUAAUACGGAAGGUCCGGGCGUUAUCCGGAUUUAUUGGGUUUAAAGGGAGCGUAGGCCGGAGAUUAAGUGUGUUGUGAAAUAUAGACGCUCAACGUCUGACUUGCAGCGCAUACUGGUUUCCUUGAGUACGCACAACGUUGGCGGAAUUCGUCGUGUAGCGGUGAAAUGCUUAGAUAUGACGAAGAACUCCGAUUGCGAAGGCAGCUGACGGGAGCGCAACUGACGCUUAAGCUCGAAGGUGCGGGUAUCGAACAGG
rnacentral:rRNA from 1 species